UGAUGGCUAGCUCGCUAGCUAGUGGGGGUUUAGCGUAGCAGUCACUUGCUACCAAACAUGUUUGUUUGCGUUCUGGAUCCAGGUUCUCGUUGUGUAUUUAGAUAUCUAGAUUGGCCUUCGAAUGUCACCUGUAUCAUGCGAUACAUAAGUUGUAAUACAUAAUUAGUUGUAAUACGUUGUACGUUAUAGGUUGUAAUACAUUUCACGCAGCUGUGUGAAUCAUGGCAAUCGUGAAUGAAGUGGCCAUUUCUAAAUGAGACCCACUGUAUGUCCGGCUGAACAUAAUAGCACUAAUGCAAUGCCCUGACCUAUGCUAGUUAGCACAUAUUCGUCGGGAACAUACCUGUAACCGCGAACUUCCAGCUUUGUAGCUUCUAGCUUUACCCAUCUUGGGUGUGUAAAACAUGUUUGUAAAAAACCUGCUUUGCCUUUAGUCUCAGUUUCAAGCGUUGGCAAACAGGAUCUACCCCGAGCAAGAAGCGCCCAAGACCACACCAACCACUAGUGUCAAGCGUCACAGAGGACUCUGACCUGUAAGUUUCUCUUAUAUCAAUAUGAUUUUCUACACCCUGUCGUAAUUAUAAUGAAUAAAUUAAUUCAUAUUUAUGGACGGCCGUCUUUUUCACACAGCGAAACACAGUUAGCUAAGCCUGAUCUUGGGGUGCAGCCACUUGAGGAAGAGGGAGCAAUUGGUGUUUUAGAUUCAAGCAUGAAGUCCCUGGGCAUUAGUGAAGACGAGUGUGACUCUCCAGAUGAGGGGCAGGCCAAUGACUUGCGGGACUCCAUCACUGAGAUGGAUGAUUUCAUUCAAGACCCUGGUAAUUUGGACCUGGAGGAUGAUGAGGAAUAUUUCCCUUCUCUUUAUCUAAGGUGUGUCCCUUGUCUUUAUCUAAGGUUUAUGUUCCUUUUUAUCACUAGGACUGCCUCAAAUUCAAUU